CUUUGAGUGUGCCAGUAGUUUUUGAAAGGUAUUCAUUAAACAAAGCAACUGCAGCAACUGCAGAAACUGAUACCUCACAGUAGAUUUAGAAUCCAAACUAGCAAGAAAGAGGUGUCUUAUGGGUUUGAACAUGAACAAAAUUAAAGGAGCUAGGAAACACUCUGAAUAUCCAAUAUUAGCUCCUACUAAUUUUCUACAGUUUGGCAGUCAACCUCAAACCCUAGACAACAGACUAUGGCUGCAUCUUACAUAUCAGGAAUAAGGGGCAACUAUGUGAAGAGUUUGCAAACUUUGGACUCAGGCUGCAAAACACACUCUACAUUAUGAUAAUUUCCACCCCAGCACCAAUCUCCAAAAAUUUUGUGGCCUAAUUGUUUUAAUCUCCUCAUGCUCUGUGAACAGUACCUCCAGCCUCCAGUGCUGUUUCAAAGGCUUUACAGCUGGGACAACAUGCACAGCCAAAUUAAGAGAGAGGCUACGAGAAGCUGCUUGCAUUGCAACAGCAAGAGUUAUCUUUCAAGUUGCCAUCUAGACCAAUGACUUCUUUUAUUCUGCCACCAACACAUGGGUCUAUGCUUUCAAUAAUCUGCUCCAAAACCAUGAUUUCUAAGAUAUGCUAUAUAUCCAGGUGUCCCAGCAGAAACACAGAUGCAACUAGGACUGGCACCAGAUGAGAAUUAAAUAGCAAAAGGAAGUCUAAAACAGUGAAGCCAAAGACUGGCAUAGGGAGGAUGAUAGCUGUGAGCUGCUGCUGUUGAUAAGGGAUAUGGCAUAUGACCCUCUUGAGGAAUGAAUUCAAGAAUAUGAAGCCCAUCUGAGAGAAGCCUGUUUCCUUUGCACACAUAUGAGUGCAUAUGAGUCACAAAGCAGGCAGGGCAUUUCUGGACAUCUCUGCCUAAACAAAGAGAAGGGAGGUAGACCUAUCCCUAGAGACAAUACCGUGUCACAUACACAGAA